CCUACGGGCGGCAGCAGUGAGGAAUAUUGGUCAAUGGGAGAGAUCCUGAACCAGCCAAGCCGCGUGAGGGAAGACGGCCCUAUGGGUUGUAAACCUCUUUUGUCGGAGAACAAAACCCGGGACGUGUCCCGGACUGCGUGUAUCCGACGAACAAGCAUCGGCUAACUCCGUGCCAGCAGCCGCGGUAAUACGGAGGAUGCGAGCGUUAUCCGGAUUUAUUGGGUUUAAAGGGUGCGUAGGCGGUCCGUUAAGUCAGCGGUAAAAUUGCGGGGCUCAACCCCGGCGAGCCGUUGAAACUGGCAGACUGGAGUGGGCGAGAAGUAAGCGGAAUGCGCGGUGUAGCGGUGAAAUGCAUAGAUAUCGCGCAGAACUCCGAUUGCGAAGGCAGCGUACCGGCGCCAGACUGACGCUGAGGCACGAAAGCGUGGGGAUCGAACAGGAUUAGAUACCCCAGUAGUC
rnacentral:rRNA from 1 species